rnacentral:lncRNA from 1 species
CUAGCUUCAAGUGAGCUCACAACUCAUUAGUGGAACUUUCACUAAAAAAUUGGGACAAGUUUGAACCAGGAAUCUUCCAGCCAGGAAUGAGUCCUAAAUGAACAUUCACAUUCCCCUACACGAGCACCUCAGACACUACAGGCAGCCUGGUAUUACCUCCUUCUGCUUGAUGAAGGUACCGCCCUACAUGCUGAAUAUAUACUCAUGUAUAUGCUUAAUGUGUCUGCACAAAAGUGGAACGGGGAAGAAUUGAAGGUAAGGUUGGAAGAAAUAGGAGAUGGAGAGUGAUUUCUGGCCAGAUGCAGUUCUUCAAGGCUUCAAGGCGAUUAAAAUUGAGAAAAUUCAAUAAGUAGCUUUGGAUUUUUCAUCAUGAGAAAAAAAACUGUUUAUUUUGAACUUCUGAGUUUCGCCUUUUAGCAUAUGGGGAAUACUUACUUAAGAAG